GGGGCGGUGGCGUAGUUGGUUAGUGUUUAACCACCUUGCGGGAAUGGCAAUCAAUUAACUCAUUAUAGGGAGCGCGUCAGACUGAAGUCAACUUCAUCACAUAAUCUGAAGGUCAUCGGUUCGAUCCCGGUCCACCCCA